GCGCCUCCUGUGGCGAGAGGGCUGAGGGAGCGCGGGGCGGGCGCGGCUCUGCCCGCCGGGACACACCGGGAACACCGGGACUGCCGGCCGGGACACACCGGGAACACCGGGACUGCCGGCCGGGACACACCGGGACUGCCCGCCGGGACACACCGGGGCUGCCGGCCGGGACACAGCGGGACUGCCCGCAAAGCCUGGCCGCUGCCGGCUGCGCAACACGCCUGGAGGAAACAGACGCGCUCAUGUCCAGCAACAGUUCGCUUGUCGUUCAUGUGAGCUGAGUUAGCUGACAGGCUAGAGCCAAGACAUGGGAUGUUCAACACCAUGCGUUCUUCAGGUUGUGAAUUAGACCAUCUCAGGAUGAGGGGAAAUUGAUGUUCCCAGAAUCUGAGAGAUACAGCUUUUGUAACAAUUCUUAGAGAAGUGCCACCACCUCUCUGCAAAUACAGGAACCUGGAGUAAAACAAUGAUGUCUGAGCCUGGGAAGAGGAUACAGAACUCAAGUGGUUGUUGUGAUUCUGCUGGAAUUCCCAAACAUUUUGCUGUCGUUGUCCUGUGUGCACCCUGUGUGCAGCCCUUCCUUGACCUGACUAACCUCAUCUGGGACCUUUAUCCCACUUAUGGCUCAGAAAUCUCUUUUAAGCUCAGACCCAGUCCUGGGGUCCUUUGUGUGAGCGAUGUUGUUGAGGUGCUGGCCUGGACUCUUGUCUCUUGGGUGGACCUGAGACCUGUGCUGUGAUUGUCUGGGGCAGCCCCUUCUCGGAGCAGCCAGUCCUCUCUGCACCUUGACAUUCCUUAACUGGAAUACCUGCUGCUGGAAAUACAUCGUGACAUCUGCCUACCCAGCUAUCUCGUUUCUGAUAUUCCUGACAUAUUCAUCCAAAAGCAUAAUGUAUUUCACUUUUUAAAAAAAAACCCAUGUAAUUCUAUAUUGCAAAAGGAUAAAGUCUGUGUCAGAAAAGGGGGGGCAAUAAACGGCUUAUUUAUUGGGAGAAUAUUUUGUUUAACGUCACUUUGUUUUCUCUGAAAUUUCCUCUGACUUUCUGAAUUUCUAGCUUUGUCAUUGUGGAUUGGAUUAUUGUAUUAAAGUACUUCUGAACUGAAAAAGAAAUCCAUCCUCCUUAAUUACAAUGCAAUGAAAAAGCUAAAUUGAUUUAAAAUAUUGGAAAACAGCAACUUUAUCUCCAAACAGAGCUUUUUCAUUUUUGUUGAAAUGUUCUCCAGAUCAAAGUAGCACCUUAAUAUUUUUAAGUUGAGUCACAGAAUUGAGUUAUGGAUACCUCUUAAUAAUAGGAUAUAUAAUAAAUGUUCUUUAGCCAUUGCUAAAGAACAUUUAGCAAUGCUUAUUAUUAGCAUAAUUUUACAGAGAUCUCACAGUAGCCCUGUCAGUAGCUUUAUAGAGGCGUGUAAUAAAACCAACCACAUAAGUAUCCCAACAGAAUAAAAAUCAAAUAUGUGGCUGCAGGAUUUUCUAGACAAGGAGGAAAAACUCCUAAAUUAAAAGUACUUCAGUGGAAGCUGUCCCCAUGAAUAAGCUGUUCAGCCCUGCUUACAGGAGGAAAUGUUGAGGCACCAGAACAGAAUUCCAGACCUGUCUCCAAGCAGGAAUUCUUUAGUGGUUUUCCACAGCACCUGCCUUUCUUCCUAUUUGUGUGGCAUUGCAGAAACUGCUGCAAGAAAUGGAAUAGACUUUCAUGGUGUGUAUUUGAAUAAGUAAUGCACUGUGGUAGAUGUCAAAUUAGCUCUGUUGUUAUUAAAGAAUUUGUUUUCUUGCUCUGUCAGUAUGGGCAAGCUACCUUACUUGGGUGUGCCUCUGUUGCUUCCCAACCUGUUAACUUUAUGUCCACUGUAAAAAAAAAAGAAGGAAAAAAAUAACCAAAAACUGUUUAAGCUGUCACCUAGUUUAUACUCUGGAGAACUGGGGAAUCUUAGGUGACAGUGAAAUACUUUAAGCUGUUUGUUUUGCUGACAGGCUGACUUUCUAUUUAAUUUCUGAUGUUGUUCUAAUUUCCUCUCAAAGUCAUCAUCCUUCCCCAUCACUUUGGCAGUAUUUUUCCAAGCCAUCUGGAUGUAUAUGGAUCUUAUGACCAUCCCC